GGCAGAGGUGGGAGACUGUGUGUUAGGGGUGGCUGGGACAACGGGAAGAUGGAGAAUAGUUCCUGCUCCUGGAGCCCAGAAGCCUUAGUCUUCUCAUCCCUCCUCCUUCCAUCAGACUUCCUCUGAAGCCUCGGGGGCAGAGGGCAUCUGCGCCAGGGAACCUGCGGACCCGGCCGACCUGUCAGGUGCUAAAUAUCCCCCAGUGACUUCAGUCCUCUCCACUUAAGACAGUUCACCUGCUCCUGGCCUCUGCGAUUUCUGUUUUCUUUCUGAAAUGGCCGUGUGGCCAGGAAAUCUAUGUGUGUCACUCCGCCUGCUCCUAGCUCUUCCAACUUCAUCGACCAAGAACUGUUCCCAUGGGGUGGAAGUUCCAAACUGGCUUCUUAAAGAGACUUCUAAUUUCUUCCAAACUAAAUGGUAAAUCAACGAAGAAAACACAGGCCACCUUGCAAACCUCUUUGGGCUGCAGGUGCACUUCUGAGAGGAGUAAGGAGGAGUUUCUCCCCAGGAAGAGCCUGCCAAAAGAAGAGCAGUGUUCUAGGGUGGUGGUUCUUAAACGCUAGCAUGAGAAGGCACGGACUGCUGCCCCCUCUCCCCGCCCCCCCAGAGUUUCUGAUUCAAAAGGGCCAGGGUGGGGCUGGAGAAUUUGCAUUUCCAGCAAGCUGCCAGAAGAUGCUGAUGCUUCUAGUCCAAGAACCACUGUUCAAGGCAAAAGGGACAGACAGCAAAGCCUUGAGACAGCAAAGAGCUUGGUGCAUUCAAGGACUAGAAAGGAGUCUGGCGUGGCUGCAGGAUGAAGAACACCGAGGCAUCAGACAAGUUAUGUAACUGUCCAGGGUUACAUAACCAGGAAAUAACAAACCGGAAUGUGAACCCAGGUAGCAUAAGGCAGGCAUUGGGCCCACAGACUUCAUCCCACACUGCCUUUCUACUGCAUGUUGCUGUCCUUAUAAAUGAGUGAACAACCUUGAGAGACAGCUGGAGCAGACGUGAUUAUCAUCGCCAUUUUCAAGACGGGGAAAUUGAGGCUCAGACAGGCAACUGGUCAUAGUUGGAAGAAGAGUGUCAAUCUAGAUUUCCUGAUUCUAGAUCUCGAAGUCUCGUCACAAAACUGGGCUGCUAGUAAAC
rnacentral:lncRNA from 1 species